UGCAGUCGACGAACUUCCGUUAAUUGAUUAUGACGUACUUGUACUGAUUGAGAUUUUAACACGAAGUGAGUGGCGAACGGGUGAGUAACACGUGGGUAACCUGCCCAGAAGUAGGGGAUAACACCUGGAAACAGAUGCUAAUACCGUAUAACAGAGAAAACCGCAUGGUUUUCUUUUAAAAGAUGGCUCUGCUAUCACUUCUGGAUGGACCCGCGGCGUAUUAGCUAGUUGGUGAGGUAAAGGCUCACCAAGGCAGUGAUACGUAGCCGACCUGAGAGGGUAAUCGGCCACAUUGGGACUGAGACACGGCCCAGACUCCUACGGGAGGCAGCAGUAGGGAAUCUUCCACAAUGGACGCAAGUCUGAUGGAGCAACGCCGCGUGAGUGAAGAAGGGUUUCGGCUCGUAAAGCUCUGUUGUUAAAGAAGAACGUGGGUAAGAGUAACUGUUUACCCAGUGACGGUAUUUAACCAGAAAGCCACGGCUAACUACGUGCCAGCAGCCGCGGUAAUACGUAGGUGGCAAGCGUUAUCCGGAUUUAUUGGGCGUAAAGCGAGCGCAGGCGGUCUUUUAAGUCUAAUGUGAAAGCCUUCGGCUCAACCGAAGAAGUGCAUUGGAAACUGGGAGACUUGAGUGCAGAAGAGGACAGUGGAACUCCAUGUGUAGCGGUGAAAUGCGUAGAUAUAUGGAAGAACACCAGUGGCGAAGGCGGCUGUCUGGUCUGCAACUGACGCUGAGGCUCGAAAGCAUGGGUAGCGAACAGGAUUAGAUACCCUGGUAGUCCAUGCCGUAAACGAUGAUUACUAAGUGUUGGAGGGUUUCCGCCCUUCAGUGCUGCAGCUAACGCAUUAAGUAAUCCGCCUGGGGAGUACGACCGCAAGGUUGAAACUCAAAAGAAUUGACGGGGGCCCGCACAAGCGGUGGAGCAUGUGGUUUAAUUCGAAGCUACGCGAAGAACCUUACCAGGUCUUGACAUCUUCUGACAGUCUAAGAGAUUAGAGGUUCCCUUCGGGGACAGAAUGACAGGUGGUGCAUGGUUGUCGUCAGCUCGUGUCCUGAGAUGUUGGGUUAAGUCCCGCAACGAGCGCAACCCUUAUUACUAGUUGCCAGCAUUGAGUUGGGCACUCUAGUGAGACUGCCGGUGACAAACCGGAGGAAGGUGGG
rnacentral:rRNA from 1 species